AAUCACGCUUACAUCCAAUUAAUCAGAUUUAACUCACACUUAAUCUUCAAUUAACCAUCAGAUUCAUACUUAAUUCAACCAUUAUGCUAAUUAAAACAUAUUAAUACAGGAAGAAAUUGAAAGAGGAACUAGGUUAAGAGAAUAUUCACGUACGUGAAAACACGCAGACGGCGGCCGCUCAUGUACACCUUCACCGGCGGGAAAAUUCCUCCAUCGCCGCCGUGAACCACGACAACGAAUCCACGCCAACCUCUCACCUUUCCUUUCUGACGUCUUUCACUCUCAGACUCUCAACAUCUCUCUCGGAUAAUUGACGCGACGGCGCCGCUCCCGUCUCCGUCUUAGCUUCAAUCGACGUCGCCUACCUCUCUCUCUCGCAAGACCUCUCCGAUCUGUUAUCUCGAUUUGUAUCCAAGCCUUUCCGAUUUGCUAACGUCACCGGCACUUCGAAGAAGAUCGACGAGUAAUCUGGAGAAACAUAUCAGGUACUCAGAGAAUAGCUGGAGAGUGUGGUGAUGAUUGAAAUCGAUGAUGAUUUGCGGAUUUCUUGAAGUUAUGAAAAUUGAAGGACAAUUGGAGGAAGGAGAGGUUCUGAAUUAUCAAUUUGCGAUGAAGAACGAAUUGCAAUGAUAUUGAUUCGGUAACGAUACGACUAUGCAAAGAAGAUUGUUGAGAUGCGAAGAAGAUGAAUCAAUGGAUUGAAGGUUGAACGAAGAUCAAGAGGUGAUUUUCUUUGUGUAUUUUUUCUGAUUUUUUGUGAUUGAAGAAGAUUAUGGAGUGUUGAAGGUCGUAGAAUUGCAUCGGUUAGAGAUUGAAGAAGUCGAUUGAGAGAAGUUCGAUGAUGAAGAUAAUGAAGAACAGUGAUGAAGAACGGUUCAGAGCGUUUUUUCCUUAGAAGUUUGUUACGUUUCCCAAUUCUGUUAUGGUGAGUUUGCUAUCUCUUCUUUCUCAUUUUUCUAUUACAUUUUCUGCAGAAUCAAGAUCGGAGAACUGAUGAACGAUUACAGAGAUAUAUGAGAUUGAAGGUUUGUGAAUCUUGUGUGGUGAGUGGAUUCAGAGGUGGUGAAUUGAAGGAAGAUGUGUAGAGAGAGUUUGAAGGUUGAAGAAGGUUGAGAUCGCCAAUGGAGGAAGAUGAAGGUGGAGAAGCUUAUUACCUUUUCGGUUCGAGGUUUGAUGGCUGCCGGUUUUUCUUUAUGGCGGAGUUGCGGUUCGGCUUUGCAGGCUACCAUGUUGAGCUUAAUUUGGAUGCAGGGCGGUCUCCAUGGUGUAAUGGAUUUGUAAUAGGAUCAUUUUGUAAAGAAUGUUUGGUUGUAUAUUUAUGAUAUAAUGGACUUGGACUCUUGAAAACAUGUAAUUUAUUGGACUUGAAUAUGAUAUGGAUGUAUAGAUUUUUGUAUUGAACCAUGAUGGGCUUUUUUUGUGUAUUUGAAUUUUUGUGAUGGAUAUUAGUGUAUAGUUUAUGGGCCUUGAAUGAAUGAUAUUUGAAUGGAUUUUGUAUGAACAAUGAAUUUGGAUAGAAAUUUAAAUGGGCUUGAUAAAUGGAUUUUUAUCUUGUAUUGGAUAUAUUUAAAACUCAAAUUUUGAAUGGACUCUCAAUUCGAACUUCAAUCUCCUUCGUAAAUCAAUGACACAUGGAAUGAAUGAAACUUGAAUGAAUCUAACUUUGCUCCUCAAUUCCACUUGCAAAACCAACAACCCAUAAUAGAGAUCACAACAUGAGUCCAUCAUCAUCCCUUACAUCAUGACUUAACCUUCGUAACUCGGAGUAUAAACCUUUUGACUUAACAAUCUCAAAACAAUAGAAACUCUUUAUUAUUUUCUCAAUUUUUGAACGACGAAAUAAACGUCGCUGAUAACUUAUAGCACGUAUAAAGAGGGCAAAUUUUGGGGUGAAAGAGAGGAAGUUUGAAAGUUUAGUUGAUCAUGUUUGUUUGAGUGAUUAGUGUCUUAUAAAGACACAUGAGAAA